rnacentral:rRNA from 1 species
CCUACGGGAGGCAGCAGUGGGGAAUAUUGCUCAAUGGGGGAAAACCUGAUGCAGCGACGCCGCGUGAGGGAAGAAGGAUUUCGGUAUGUAAAGCCCUUUUAGUAGGGAAGAAAAUGACGGUACCUGACGAAGAAGCCCCGGCUAACUACGUGCCAGCAGCCGCGGUAAUACGGAGGGGGCAAGCGUUAUCCGGAUUUACUGGGAGUAAAGGGAGCGUAGGCGGGAACGCAAGUCGGGCGUGAAAUCCCAUGGCUUAACCAUGGAACUGCAUUGGAAACUGUUCGUCUUGAGUGCAGGAGAGGUAGGCGGAAUUCCUAGUGUAGCGGUGAAAUGCGUAGAUAUUAAGCGGAACACCAAUGGCGAAGGCGGCUUACUGGACCGUAACUGACGCUGAGGCGCGAAAGCGUGGGGAGCAAACAGGAUUAGAUACCCGGGUAGUC